rnacentral:rRNA from 1 species
ACGCUGGCGGCGUGCCUAACACAUGCAAGUCGAACGCGAAAGUCCCGCAAGGGAUCAGUAGAGUGGCAAACGGGUGAGUAACACGUGGGUGACCUGCCUUCGAGUGGGGGAUAACGUCCCGAAAGGGACGCUAAUACCGCAUGACAUCCUGCCUUUGAAUAGGUGGAGCUUAAAGCUGGGGAUCGCAAGACCUAGCGCUUGAAGAGGGGCCCGCGCCUGAUUAGCUAGUUGGUGAGGUAACGGCUCACCAAGGCAACGAUCAGUAUCCGACCUGAGAGGGCGGACGGACACACUGGGACUGAGACACGGCCCAGACUCCUACGGGAGGCAGCAGUAGGGAAUUGUUCGCAAUGGGCGCAAGCCUGACGACGCAACGCCGCGUGGAGGAUGAAGAUCUUCGGGUCGUAAACUCCUUUCGAUCGAGACGAAUGGCCCCUGAGCUAAUCAUCAGGGGAAUGACGGUACCGAGAGAAGAAGCCCCGGCUAACUCCGUGCCAGCAGCCGCGGUAAUACGGGGGGGGCAAGCGUUGUUCGGAAUUACUGGGCGUAAAGGGCUCGU